rnacentral:rRNA from 1 species
UACGUAGGGUGCGAGCGUUGUCCGGAAUUAUUGGGCGUAAAGAGCUCGUAGGCGGUCUGUCGCGUCGGCUGUGAAAUCCCGAGGCUCAACCUCGGGUCUGCAGUCGAUACGGGCAAACUAGAGUAUUGCAGGGGAGACUGGAAUUCCUGGUGUAGCGGUGAAAUGCGCAGAUAUCAGGAGGAACACCGGUGGCGAAGGCGGGUCUCUGGGACGGUACUGACGCUGAGGCGCGAAAGCGUGGGGAGCGAACAGG